CCCUGAUGGCUCAAAUGGAAAAGAAUCUGCCUAUAAUGCAGGAGUUCCAGGUUCGAUCCCUGGGUCAGGUA
rnacentral:tRNA from 1 species